rnacentral:rRNA from 1 species
CCUACGGGUGGCAGCAGUGAGGAAUAUUGGUCAAUGGCCGAGAGGCUGAACCAGCCAAGUCGCGUGAGGGAAGACGGCCCUACGGGUUGUAAACCUCUUUUGUCGGGGAGCAAAGCGAACCACGUGUGGCUCAUUGAGAGUACCCGAAGAAAAAGCAUCGGCUAACUCCGUGCCAGCAGCCGCGGUAAUACGGAGGAUGCGAGCGUUAUCCGGAUUUAUUGGGUUUAAAGGGUGCGCAGGCGGAGGUUGAAGUCAGCGGUAAAAUUGCGGGGCUCAACCCCGUACUGCCGUUGAAACUGGAUAGCUAGAGUGCGCGAGAAGUAUGCGGAAUGCGUGGUGUAGCGGUGAAAUGCAUAGAUAUCACGCAGAACUCCGAUUGCGAAGGCAGCAUACCGGCGCGCAACUGACGCUCAUGCACGAAAGCGUGGGUAUCGAACAGGAUUAGAUACCCCUGUAGUC